GCGCUUUUUUGUCUUUCCCAAAAUUUGUCUUCCAGUCAUCCAUAACAGAAGGAAGAAUAGGUAACCAAAUGAAAUAAAAUUCGGUUUUACCAGGUAUACUGUGAGAAGAAUUGUUAGAAAGGCAAUGUAGGUUCCAUAUGAUCGAUAAACUGAAAGAAACUUCUGCCCAGUUGCCCUCAGAUAUGAUGCUAUUUUUUUCUCAUGAGAGGAGUUAUCA
rnacentral:misc_RNA from 1 species